GACGAACGCUGGCGGCGUGCUUAACACAUGCAAGUCGAACGAAGUGGCGAACGGGUGAGUAACGCGUACUCAACCUGCCCUUCAGAGGGGGACAACAGUUGGAAACGACUGCUAAUACCGCAUACUGAAGGAGGGGAUUGCGUCUGAUUAGCUAGUUGGAGGGGUAAAGGCCCACACAGGCUAUGAUCAGUGGCCGGUCUGAGAGGAUGAACGGCCACAGUGGGACGGAGACAUGGCCCAGACUCCUACGGGAGGAAGCAGUGGGGAAUCUUCCGCAAUGGACGAAAGUCUGACGGAGCAACGCCGCGUGAGUGAUGACGGCCUUCGGGUUGUAAAGCUCUGUUAAUCGGGACGCGGUACCGGAAUAGAAAGCCACGGCUAACUACGUGCCAGCAGCCGCGGUAAUUC
rnacentral:rRNA from 1 species